UGGGGAAUUUUGGACAAUGGGGGCAACCCUGAUCCAGCCAUCCCGCGUGUGCGAUGAAGGCCUUCGGGUUGUAAAGCACUUUUGGCAGGGAAGAAACAGCCUGGGCUAAUAUCCCGGGCGACUGACGGUACCUGCAGAAUAAGCACCGGCUAACUACGUGCCAGCAGCCGCGGUAAUACGUAGGGUGCAAGCGUUAAUCGGAAUUACUGGGCGUAAAGCGUGCGCAGGCGGUUCGGUAAGAACGGUGUGAAAUCCCAGGGCUUAACCUUGGAACUGCACUUUUAACUGCCGGGCUUGAGUACGUCAGAGGGGGGUAGAAUUCCACGUGUAGCAGUGAAAUGCGUAGAGAUGUGGAGGAAUACCGAUGGCGAAGGCAGCCCCCUGGGAUGAUACUGACGCUCAUGCACGAAAGCGUGGGGAGCAAACA
rnacentral:rRNA from 1 species